CCUUGGUGGGUAACACAUACACUCAUACAUUCAUAAAGGGGGGACUGAAAGUUCUAUCAUGUAAUAGAAAGCUGAGUGAUGACAAAGGGGAAAAGAUGGAACUAGAACCCUGUCACUUCCCAACCAUCAGGACAGUUAAUACCUGGCAGGCAGGAGCCUCAGGGACAUCAAAGCUUCUGUGUCAGCGUGAGGGGACACCUGCACCGUCUCAAAGGAUCUCCAUGAAGAGGAAAGUACAACAAUCAUAGUGGAGAUGCCUGGCAGACACCCUUCUAACUACCGGCCAAAGUCAGGCAUCUCCAGGAACAGGACCUGUGCAUCUCCUGAGGGGGUCCAACCACACAGCUCCACUCAGAGACAAGGUUCACAGUGACUGCCUACAUACCUCAGGAUGUCAGUGUCAUGACCAAUGAGGCAAGAGACUUUUCACAAUGAAAACUAUAAAACGUCAGUGAGAGAAGUUGGAGGAAACAUAAAUAAAUGGACACACAGCCCAUGAUUGUGGGCUGGAAGACUUGCUGCCAAGUGGUCAGUACCACCCAGAGUGACCUACAGAUUCAAUGCAAGCCCUCUCAAAAUCCCAAGGAUAUUUUCUUCACAUUAAAAAAAAAAAUCAUUCUAAAGUUCCUGUCUAAUCUCAAGGGACCCUGAGCAGCCAAAACAAUUUUGAAAAAGAACAAAGUUAGAGGACACACUUCCUGAUUUCAAAGCUUUCUCCACAGGUACAGUAAUCUGUGCGCAUCUGCCCUCAAGAUAGACACACAGGCCAAUGGAACAGAACAGAGACCCCAAGAAUAAGCCUCACCCCCCUGGACAGGUGAGUCUACAGAGGACGCCAGGACCGUUCAACAGGGAGCAGGCCGUCUCCCAGCAAACGGUGCUGCGAAAGCUGAAUAUCCCCCUGCAGAAGAAUGGAGCUGGACCUGGAAUUACUUAACACGACAUACAAAAAACAACUCAAAGGGAAUCAAGUCUAAAAGUACAACCCAAAACUAUAAAACUCCUAGAAGAAAACACAGUGCAAAAACUUUACAAUGCUGCAUUUGGCAAUGAUUUCUUGUUUAUGACAAUAAAGUCAUAGUCAACAGCAACAAGAACAGAUGAACUGGACUUCAUGAAGCAUCAGAAAUGCAUCAAAAGACACCAUCAACAGAGCAAGAAGACCACCCAUGAGAUCUACAGAACAUUUUCAAAUCAUCUGUUUGUUAAGGGAUAAGGGAUCUGAUAUCCAGGAUAUGUAGAGAACCUGUAAAACUCAACCAAACAAAAAAACAAACAGCUCUAUUAAAAAAUGGGCAAAAGGAGUAAAGAUGCAAAAAAUGCGAAGUGACUAGCUGGGAGCCAAGACGGAAAACUAGGGAAUGGGAGAUAAAGUGGCCUCAUGAAUAGGAAUGCCUGCCCAGACACCAGAAUUGGAGGUGAUGGAUGAAGAUCAGCUAAUUGAAGAAGUCUUGGAUAAAUUUGUUAAUUGUCAUGAGCAAACAUAUGAAGAAUUUCUGAGAACGUUCACUUAUCUUUCAAAAGAUAAUGUGACCAAAAGAGAAGUCUUUGGAACUAAUUCUUCAGAAAACAAUUUUACUUCAAUAAAAUUUACUCAGAGAAAUGAACCAAAUGAUCACCAUCUUAGCAAUAAAGCCAUGUUUCUUCGCACUUCAUCACAAUGUUCGGAAGAGGAGCAGAUAAUGAUAGAUGAUGGCCAAAAAGCUGGCAGUUGCUUUCAAGGUGAUCUGAAUCGAGCAGGGGAGGUGAAGGUAGACAAUUUCCUUGAUAUAGAAGAUUUGGACCUGGAUGAAGAGAUUAAUCCCCAACUGAGCAAGGACGUGCUGCUGCUUCCAGGACAAGUGGAGCAAGAAGUGAGCUUGAGUGUUCCCUCUUACAUUCCUUCUGUGGCCGGCCAGCCUCUCACUCCUGGAACCAAGCCUGGGCCCACCGUGAAAGGAGCAGACAAACAAAGGGAAGAGAUCGUUGGAGAUGAAGUUCAGCCCUUCUCGCUUGAUGAAGAAUUCGAUUACGAUGCAGUGGUGCUAACCCCCAAAUUCACUCCUGCAGAGCUGAAUGCUAUCAAAGAGCUAUCCAAGCAGAAGACAAAGAGCGCAGACUUAGAGAAGCCCCAUGACUGAUCCACCCAGACCUCUUUACAUUUAUUUUUAUUUUGUUCUUGCUCAAGAAACAUGAAAUUAAAAGAUAAACCUGUUGUAA